AGAGCCGGAGCAAGUGUCGGCUGUUACAGAGCCGGAGCCGGAGCAAGUGUCUGCUGUUACAGAGUCGGAGCAAGUGUCUGCUGUUCCAGAGCCCUCGUCUCGUAGAUGGUUGUCUUUGGUGAAUUUGGGGAAGCAAGUUGUACGUGUUUGGAACAACAUGAGGACCCACAAUCCUGCUGUGCUCAGCGCUGGUGUCGCAGCAGAGAUGCUGUUUCAGUCCUAAUGGCCUCAUGAAGGACAACGUGGAACUGAUGCAUGAUGGGAAACGUCUGACAGGGGUCGAUCAGCUCUAAAAGACAGCUCUCAGUUCACAGUUCUCAGAGGACGUUUGGGCAGAGUAAACCGGGCAGGAAUCCGAGUGCGAGAUCCUGGCAGAGGAUUCGUUCACUGUCUGAUGUGAUCUGUGCCCGAGGGACUCUGACAUAUGGAAGACAUCACUUAUCCGGCGGGUCCGCAGAGAAAUCAUCAGGCCGGUAAACACACCACACACUGAUGUCAGGGCCGGACUGUGUGUUUUAUGGUUUCUCAUAACCUCCGCGUGUCAUUUCGCUGCGUUUUGUUGGUUUGUCUGUGAAUUUAUGGGAAGGUUAUUUGGUGUGAGUUACCCUGCGGAAGGUCAGGUCAGGUCCAGACAUGUUUGAGUCAACCAGCAUAACCAUUCAGCCUAGCAAACAAACACUGUGAGCUCACAAAUACAAAUAAGACUGUAAUCCACCCAUAAACUCUAGAGUCUAGACGCUUUGCAUGAGUGAAAAGGACGUCCUGUUGUUCAUCUGGUCUCCUCAGAUUCGUUGCUGAGUUUUUCGAUAUUACUCAGGCUCUUCACGUACAGCAAUCGAUAUGAUCCCACUCCGCCUCGUUCUCUCAUCCGCAGUUACAGACCUCCGAGUGCUUUUAAUGCUCUUUGCUGGUUAUUAUUAUGGGCAAAUAUGUUUAUUUAAAUACCAGACAGGUAUAAAAGACAGGUAUUUUACUGGAGCUGCUAUGCCUGAACGAGAUUGAAUCCUUGUAAAGACAUAAGCUGAGUUCAGAGUAACAUACUCGCAUACUACUCGUAUUUCUUCCAUAGCUUUAUGUGACAGAAGUAGUAACACUAAUGUACUAUUCCCAUUUCAGCCAUUAUGCAUUUCAUUUGAUAGUGCAUUACACAAUGUCAUACUGUU